rnacentral:rRNA from 1 species
AGAGUUUGAUCCUGGCUCAGGAUGAACGCUAGCGGCAGGCCUAAUACAUGCAAGUCGAACGGGUGCAGCAAUGCACUAGUGGCGCACGGGUGCGUAACGCGUAGGUAACCUGCCCGUUCCCGGGGGAUACCGCCUUGAAAGGGGCGUUAAUCCCGCAUAAUCCACUCAGGAGGCAUCUUCAGAGUGGUAAAUUCACGGAGGGAACGGAUGGGCCUGCGUCCCAUUAGCUAGUUGGUGCGGGUAAGAGCCCACCAAGGCUUCGAUGGGUAGGGGACCUGAGAGGGCGAUCCCCCACACUGGCACUGAGAUACGGGCCAGACUCCUACGGGAGGCAGCAGUAGGGAAUAUUGGGCAAUGGGCGAGAGCCUGACCCAGCCAUGCCGCGUGCCGGAAGAAACAGCUUUGCUGCGUAAACGGCUUUUAUCAGGGAAGAAAAAAGGGAUGCGUCCCUCAUUGACCGUACCUGAGGAAUCAGCACCGGCUAACUCCGUGCCAGCAGCCGCGGUAAUACGGGGGGUGCAAGCGUUGUCCGGAUUUAUUGGGUUUAAAGGGUGCGUAGGUGGCUAGGUAAGUCCGGGGUGAAAGACGGCCGCUCAACGGUCGCAGGGCCCUGGAUACUGCAAAGCUAGAGUGCGGAUGAGGUGGGCGGAAUCUACGAAGUAGCGGUGAAAUGCAUAGAUAUCGUAGAGAACUCCGAUUGGGAAGCCAGCUCACUGGGCCGUUACUGACACUGAGGCACGAAAGCGUGGGGAUCAAACAGGAUUAGAUACCCCGGUAGUCC